UCCAUUCAUCCCUGCCGUCCCCAUCCCUUCGUCCCUGUUUCCCUUCCCCCGUCCCUUCAUUUUCUCCUCUUUUUCCAUUUUCAACAGAGAUCGAUGGUAAAAAAAAAAAAUCAAAAAAGAAAUAGCGGUCCAUUUACUUAUUCUUCUUUCUGUUUUUUUUUUCUUUUUAAUCUGGAUAUUGUUAGUUGUUAGAUGACAAGGUAGAUUGGAGACAUGGUUUUAUGUUGGAUUGACUUUUUCUUUUUGUAAUUUAGUCAUUGAUGUAACUAUAGAUCUGGGUUGUUAUUUUAUAUAUAUAUAUAUAUAUAUAUAUAUAUAUAUAU
rnacentral:lncRNA from 1 species